rnacentral:snoRNA from 1 species
UGGUUGGCGGUGAUUAUAAAAGUAAUUCCUCGUACUGAAUGCUACAAGCUUGAUAGACUCUAUUACACCCAUAGAAUAUGAGCUUC